CAAAGCUCUUGACAUAUCAUAUUUCAUACAUUUGAUUCAAGUGGGUUUUGAACUCCCAAUUUUACCCCAAAUACAGAUUGCAGAAUCACAUUGGUUACACAUCCACAUUUUUACAUAAUGCCCUAUUAGUAACUGUUGUAUUCUGCUACCUUUCCUAUCCUCUACUAUCUCCCCUCCCCUCCCCUCCCAUCUUCUCUCUCUACCCCAUCUACUGUAAUUCAUUUCUCUCCUUGUUUAUUUUCCCAUUCCCCUCACAACCUCUUAUAUGUAAUUUUGUAUAACAAUGAGGAUCUCCCUCCAUUACCAUGCAAUUUCCCUUUUCUCUCCCUUUCCCUCCCACCUCAUGUAUCUGUUUAAUGUUAAUCUUUUCUUUCUGCUCUUCCUCCCUGCUUUGUUCUUAG
rnacentral:lncRNA from 1 species